rnacentral:rRNA from 1 species
UAGGGAAUCUUCCGCAAUGGGCGAAAGCCUGACGGAGCAACGCCGCGUGAGUGAUGAAGGUCUUCGGAUCGUAAAACUCUGUUAUUAGGGAAGAACACAUGUGUAAGUAACUAUGCACGUCUUGACGGUACCUAAUCAGAAAGCCACGGCUAACUACGUGCCAGCAGCCGCGGUAAUACGUAGGUGGCAAGCGUUAUCCGGAAUUAUUGGGCGUAAAGCGCGCGUAGGCGGUUUUUUAAGUCUGAUGUGAAAGCCCACGGCUCAACCGUGGAGGGUCAUUGGAAGCUGGAAAACUUGAGUGCAGAAGAGGAAAGUAGAAUUCCAUGUGUAGCGGUGAAAUGCGCAGAGAUAUGGAGGAACACCAGUAGCGAAGGCGACUUUCUGGUCUGUAACUGACGCUGAUGUGCGAAAGCGUGGGGAUCAAACAGG